UACGAAGGGGGCUAGCGUUGCUCGGAAUCACUGGGCGUCAAGCGCACGUAGGCGGAUUGUUAAGUCAGGGGUGAAAUCCUGGAGCUCAACUCCAGAACUGCCUUUGAUACUGGCGAUCUCGAGUCCGGGAGAGGUGAGUGGAACUGCGAGUGUAGAGGUGAAAUUCGUAGAUAUUCGCAAGAACACCAGUGGCGAAGGCGGCUCACUGGCCCGGUACUGACGCUGAGGUGCGAAAGCGUGGGGAGCAAACAGG
rnacentral:rRNA from 1 species